rnacentral:tRNA from 2 species
GCGACCGUAGUCUAGUCUGGUCUAGGACGGGAGCCUGCCACGCUUCUGACCCGGGUUCAAAUCCCGGCGGUCGCA